ACAUAUACUCACAUACAUACAUGUGUGUAUGUAUAUAUAUAUACAUACACACAUGUAUGUAUGUGUGUAUAUGUG
rnacentral:pre_miRNA from 15 species